rnacentral:rRNA from 1 species
CAUGGGCGCAGCUGAUGCAGCCAUGCCGCGUGUAUGAAGAAGGCCUUCGGGUUGUAAAGUACUUUCAGCGGGGAGGAAGGUGUUGAGGUUAAUAACCUCAGCAAUUGACGUUACCCGCAGAAGAAGCACCGGCUAACUCCGUGCCAGCACGCCGCGGUAAUACGGAGGGUGCAAUGCGUUAAUCGGAAUUACUGGGCGUAAAGCGCACGCAGGCGGUCUGUCAAGUCGGAUGUGAAAUCCCCGGGCUCAACCUGGGAACUGCAUUCGAAACUGGCAGGCUAGAGUCUUGUAGAGGGGGGUAGAAUUCCAGGUGUAGCGGUGAAAUGCGUAGAGAUCUGGAGGAAUACCGGUGGCGAAGGCGGCCCCUGGACAAAGACUGACGCUCAGGUGCGAAAGCGUGGGGAGCAAACAGGAUUAGAUACCCUGGUAGUCCACGCCGUAAACGAUGUCGACUUGGAGGUUGUGCCCUUGAGGCGUGGCUUCCGGAGCUAACGCGUUAAGUCGACCGCCUGGGGAGUACGGCCGCAAGGUUAAAACUCAAAUGAAUUGACGGGGGCCCGCACAAGCGGUGGAGCAUGUGGUUUAAUUCGAUGCACGCGAAGAACCUUAACCUAAUCUUGAACAU